GCAGCAGACCGGAGCAGAGGAGAAGAGCAGGAGACCGGAGGGUAACACUCAGCUCUGCACAAAUGAGUUGUGAAUGUUGCUGCAACAAAUAUGACUUGGCACUAGCAUCUUCGAUCCUAUGAGCUGUCAGCCAUACAGGGAAGCCUGUCUAUCCACCUGCAAUCUGACUUCAAUGAUACAAUCCCACUCUCUGCAUACAAGAUUGAUGGCUUGCUGCUGUUGACUCCCAAGAGGUUCAUACAAGUGAGACAAAAUUAAGACCACUCUAUGGUAAGUAAUUCUUCAUAAAAUCAUUAAUUGUUCAUUUAUUGGAAAAUGUGCUCAAUAUAAUCAAUCAUUAUAUAAAUCAACAAACCUGCAAACAACAAACCUGCCUGAUAA